rnacentral:rRNA from 1 species
AAAUUGAAGAGUUUGAUCAUGGCUCAGAUUGAACGCUGGCGGCAGGCCUAACACAUGCAAGUCGAACGGUAGCAGGAAGAAGCUUGCUUCUUCGCUGACGAGUGGCGGACGGGUGAGUAAUGUCUGGGAAACUGCCUGAUGGAGGGGGAUAACUACUGGAAACGGUAGCUAAUACCGCAUAACGUCGCAAGACCAAAGAGGGGGACCUUCGGGCCUCUUGCCAUCGGAUGUGCCCAGAUGGGAUUAGCUUGUUGGUGGGGUAACGGCUCACCAAGGCGACGAUCCCUAGCUGGUCUGAGAGGAUGACCAGCCACACUGGAACUGAGACACGGUCCAGACUCCUACGGGAGGCAGCAGUGGGGAAUAUUGCACAAUGGGCGCAAGCCUGAUGCAGCCAUGCCGCGUGUAUGAAGAAGGCCUUCGGGUUGUAAAGUACUUUCAGCGGGGAGGAAGGGAGUAAAGU